GACGAACGCUGGCGGCAGGCCUAACACAUGCAAGUCGAACGCAUCGCAAGAUGAGUGGCGCACGGGUGAGUAACACGUGGGAAUGUAUCCUUUGGUUCGGGAUAACGUUUGGAAACGAACGCUAAUACCGGAUGAGCCCUUAGGGGGAAAGAUUUAUCGCCGAAGGAGCAGCCCGCGUCUGAUUAGGUAGUUGGUGGGGUAAAGGCCUACCAAGCCGACGAUCAGUAGCUGGUCUGAGAGGAUGAUCAGCCACACUGGGACUGAGACACGGCCCAGACUCCUACGGGAGGCAGCAGUGGGGAAUCUUGCGCAAUGGGCGAAAGCCUGACGCAGCCAUGCCGCGUGAAUGAUGAAGGUCUUAGGAUUGUAAAAUUCUUUCACCGGGGACGAUAAUGACGGUACCCGGAGAAGAAGCCCCGGCUAACUUCGUGCCAGCCGCCGCAGUAAUAC
rnacentral:rRNA from 1 species